rnacentral:lncRNA from 1 species
ACCCUCUCCACCCCAAGCCCCCGUACCUCUUAGCUUAGCUCUCCUGCUCAUCACCCACCAGACACCACUCCAUCUCCCGCGCGCGCGUGUGGCCUCCGCUCCUCUCCCCAUCUCCUCUCUCGCCAAGAACCACCGAGCUUGGAGCGCCACCGCCAUGGCCAUGGCCACGCAAGCCUCGGCGGCGACGCGCCACCUCAUCACCGCGGCCUGGUCGCCCUCCGCCAAGCCCCGCCCCGCCACCCUCGCCAUGCCAUCCUCCGCCCGCGGCCCGGCCCCGCUCUGCGCCGCGGCCCCGGACACCCCCGCCCCCGCCGCGCCGCCGGCGGAGCCCGCGCCCGCGGGCUUCGUGCCGCCGCAGCUGGACCCGUCCACCCCGUCCCCGAUCUUCGGCGGCAGCACGGGCGGCCUGCUCCGCAAGGCCCAGGUCGAGGAGUUCUACGUCAUCACCUGGACCUCCCCCAAGGAGCAGGUGUUCGAGAUGCCCACCGGCGGCGCCGCCAUCAUGCGCGAGGGCCCCAACCUCCUCAAGCUCGCCCGCAAGGAGCAGUGCCUCGCCCUCGGCAACCGCCUCCGCUCCAAGUACAAGAUCGCCUACCAGUUCUACCGCGUCUUCCCCAACGGCGAGGUGCAGUACCUCCACCCCAAGGACGGCGUCUACCCGGAGAAGGUCAACGCCGGCAGGCAGGGCGUGGGGCAGAACUUCCGCAGCAUCGGCAAGAACGUCAGCCCCAUCGAGGUCAAGUUCACCGGCAAGAACUCCUUCGACAUCUAAUCUCGUACGUCGUAUAUGCGUACGUGCUAGUUCAUCGACCGGUAGUUAUUGGCGGGUGGCGAUGAUGAUGGACGUCCUGUAAUUUUAAUUGUCGAGUUUGAAUGCUGGAUUCGAUCGGUGAUAAUGAUGCAUCAGGUUAUAUGUACAUGGUAAUUUGAUGACGAUACUGCUGUAUGUUAACGUUGUUCAUAUGCAUGAUCGGCUUCUUUUCAUGUUGAUGAUGAGUGGUAUUUUGUUUGUUACAC